GAUGAACGCUGGCGGCGUGCCUAAUACAUGCAAGUCGAGCGGCAGCGCGAGUAGUUUACUACUUGGCGGCGAGCGGCGGACGGCUGAGUAACGCGUAGGAACGUACCCCAAAGUGAGGGAUAAGCACCAGAAAUGGUGUCUAAUACCGCAUGUGAUCUAAGGAUUAAAGCUUCGGCGCUUUGGGAACGGCCUGCGUUUGAUUAGCUUGUUGGUGAGGUAAAAGCUCACCAAGGCGACGAUCAAUAGCUGGUCUGAGAGGAUGAUCAGCCAGACUGGGACUGAGACACGGCCCAGACUCCUACGGGUGGCAG
rnacentral:rRNA from 1 species